UCUGUUGUAGUCUAAUUGGUUAGGAUACUCGACUCUCACUCGAGAAACCCGGGUUCAAUUCCUGGCAACUAGAA